UACGUAGGGUGCGAGCGUUGUCCGGAAUUACUGGGCGUAAAGAGCUCGUAGGUGGUUUGUCGCGUUGUUCAUGAAAUCUCACGGCUUAACUGUGAGCGUGCGGGCGAUACGGGCAGACUGGAGUACUGCAGGGGAGACUGGAAUUCCGUGUAGCGGUGAAAUGCGCAGAUAUCGGGAGGAACACCUACGUGGCGAAGGCAGCUCGCUGGGACGUUACUGACGCUGAGACGACGAAGCGUGGG
rnacentral:rRNA from 1 species